GACAGAGGGUGCAAACGUUGUUCGGAAUUACUGGGCGUAAAGCGCGUGUAGGCUGCUCGGAAAGUCGGAUGUGAAAGCCCUGGGCUCAACCUAGGAAGUGCACUCGAAACUUCCGAGCUGGAGUGCUGGAGAGGAAGGCGGAAUUCUCGGUGUAGAGGUGAAAUUCGUAGAUAUCGAGAGGAACACCGGUGGCGAAGGCGGCCUUCUGGACAGUUACUGACGCUGAGACGCGAAAGCGUGGGGAGCAAACAGG
rnacentral:rRNA from 1 species